GGGUUGUGAGGUUAAGCGACUAAGCGUACACGGUGGAUGCCCUGGCAGUCAGAGGCGAUGAAGGACGUGCUAAUCUGCGAUAAGCGUCGGUAAGGUGAUAUGAACCGUUAUAACCGGCGAUUUCCGAAUGGGGAAACCCAGUGUGAUUCGUCACACUAUCAUUAACUGAAUCCAUAGGUUAAUGAGGCGAACCGGGGGAACUGAAACAUCUAAGUACCCCGAGGAAAAGAAAUCAACCGAGAUUCCCCCAGUAGCGGCGAGCGAACGGGGAGCAGCCCAGAGCCUGAAUCAGUGUGUGUGUUAGUGGAAGCGUCUGGAAAGGCGUGCGAUACAGGGUGACAGCCCCGUACACAAAAAUGCACAUAUUGUGAGCUCGAUGAGUAGGGCGGGACACGUGGUAUCCUGUCUGAAUAUGGGGGGACCAUCCUCCAAGGCUAAAUACUCCUGACUGACCGAUAGUGAACCAGUACCGUGAGGGAAAGGCGAAAAGAACCCCGGCGAGGGGAGUGAAAAAGAACCUGAAACCGUGUACGUACAAGCAGUGGGAGCACGCUUAGGCGUGUGACUGCGUACCUUUUGUAUAAUGGGUCAGCGACUUAUAUUCUGUAGCAAGGUUAACCGAAUAGGGGAGCCGAAGGGAAACCGAGUCUUAACUGGGCGUUAAGUUGCAGGGUAUAGACCCGAAACCCGGUGAUCUAGCCAUGGGCAGGUUGAAGGUUGGGUAACACUAACUGGAGGACCGAACCGACUAAUGUUGAAAAAUUAGCGGAUGACUUGUGGCUGGGGGUGAAAGGCCAAUCAAACCGGGAGAUAGCUGGUUCUCCCCGAAAGCUAUUUAGGUAGCGCCUCGUGAAUUCAUCUCCGGGGGUAGAGCACUGUUUCGGCAAGGGGGUCAUCCCGACUUACCAACCCGAUGCAAACUGCGAAUACCGGAGAAUGUUAUCACGGGAGACACACGGCGGGUGCUAACGUCCGUCGUGAAGAGGGAAACAACCCAGACCGCCAGCUAAGGUCCCAAAGUCAUGGUUAAGUGGGAAACGAUGUGGGAAGGCCCAGACAGCCAGGAUGUUGGCUUAGAAGCAGCCAUCAUUUAAAGAAAGCGUAAUAGCUCACUGGUCGAGUCGGCCUGCGCGGAAGAUGUAACGGGGCUAAACCAUGCACCGAAGCUGCGGCAGCGACGCUUAUGCGUUGUUGGGUAGGGGAGCGUUCUGUAAGCCUGCGAAGGUGUGCUGUGAGGCAUGCUGGAGGUAUCAGAAGUGCGAAUGCUGACAUAAGUAACGAUAAAGCGGGUGAAAAGCCCGCUCGCCGGAAGACCAAGGGUUCCUGUCCAACGUUAAUCGGGGCAGGGUGAGUCGACCCCUAAGGCGAGGCCGAAAGGCGUAGUCGAUGGGAAACAGGUUAAUAUUCCUGUACUUGGUGUUACUGCGAAGGGGGGACGGAGAAGGCUAUGUUGGCCGGGCGACGGUUGUCCCGGUUUAAGCGUGUAGGCUGGUUUUCCAGGCAAAUCCGGAAAAUCAAGGCUGAGGCGUGAUGACGAGGCACUACGGUGCUGAAGCAACAAAUGCCCUGCUUCCAGGAAAAGCCUCUAAGCAUCAGGUAACAUCAAAUCGUACCCCAAACCGACACAGGUGGUCAGGUAGAGAAUACCAAGGCGCUUGAGAGAACUCGGGUGAAGGAACUAGGCAAAAUGGUGCCGUAACUUCGGGAGAAGGCACGCUGAUAUGUAGGUGAAGUCCCUCGCGGAUGGAGCUGAAAUCAGUCGAAGAUACCAGCUGGCUGCAACUGUUUAUUAAAAACACAGCACUGUGCAAACACGAAAGUGGACGUAUACGGUGUGACGCCUGCCCGGUGCCGGAAGGUUAAUUGAUGGGGUUAGCGCAAGCGAAGCUCUUGAUCGAAGCCCCGGUAAACGGCGGCCGUAACUAUAACGGUCCUAAGGUAGCGAAAUUCCUUGUCGGGUAAGUUCCGACCUGCACGAAUGGCGUAAUGAUGGCCAGGCUGUCUCCACCCGAGACUCAGUGAAAUUGAACUCGCUGUGAAGAUGCAGUGUACCCGCGGCAAGACGGAAAGACCCCGUGAACCUUUACUAUAGCUUGACACUGAACAUUGAGCCUUGAUGUGUAGGAUAGGUGGGAGGCUUUGAAGUGUGGACGCCAGUCUGCAUGGAGCCGACCUUGAAAUACCACCCUUUAAUGUUUGAUGUUCUAACGUUGACCCGUAAUCCGGGUUGCGGACAGUGUCUGGUGGGUAGUUUGACUGGGGCGGUCUCCUCCUAAAGAGUAACGGAGGAGCACGAAGGUUGGCUAAUCCUGGUCGGACAUCAGGAGGUUAGUGCAAUGGCAUAAGCCAGCUUGACUGCGAGCGUGACGGCGCGAGCAGGUGCGAAAGCAGGUCAUAGUGAUCCGGUGGUUCUGAAUGGAAGGGCCAUCGCUCAACGGAUAAAAGGUACUCCGGGGAUAACAGGCUGAUACCGCCCAAGAGUUCAUAUCGACGGCGGUGUUUGGCACCUCGAUGUCGGCUCAUCACAUCCUGGGGCUGAAGUAGGUCCCAAGGGUAUGGCUGUUCGCCAUUUAAAGUGGUACGCGAGCUGGGUUUAGAACGUCGUGAGACAGUUCGGUCCCUAUCUGCCGUGGGCGCUGGAGAAUUGAGGGGGGCUGCUCCUAGUACGAGAGGACCGGAGUGGACGCAUCACUGGUGUUCGGGUUGUCAUGCCAAUGGCACUGCCCGGUAGCUAAAUGCGGAAGAGAUAAGUGCUGAAAGCAUCUAAGCACGAAACUUGCCCCGAGAUGAGUUCUCCCUGACUCCUUGAGAGUCCUGAAGGAACGUUGAAGACGACGACGUUGAUAGGCCGGGUGUGUAAGCGCAGCGAUGCGUUGAGCUAACCGGUACUAAUGAACCGUGAGGCUUAACCUUACAACGCCGAAG
rnacentral:rRNA from 1 species